CAUUCGAGACACAGAUGGACACCCCUGUGUGUGGAGCUCUUCACCAACACACACCUCUGAGUUAUGCACAGCAGUGGAGCAUCUUUUCCCAAAUCUCACUUUUAUGUUGAGGUUAAAUUCAGCAAACAUAAGCUUCUGUUACUGUGGGCCUCUAAAUGCUUCUCUCACAGAGUGCUCUGCUAUUUUUGCUUUUAUCAAAUGGAUAUCUUUUUUCAAUAAGAGGAAAGUUCAAAAAACUGCAGACAUGUGGUUGAACAUAAAGGUUUCUAUGACCCAACCACCUACACAAAUUUGAUCAUGAAGAAAACUUGUGUGUGGCUAUAGAUUGAGCUUGAUAAGAAAACAGUCACAUACAAAUGCAGAUUGUAGAAUACUUUUUACUACAGCAAAAACUGCUACUGAUUUAUUACAAAACAAAUUCCAACUAAUUCCAGCUAAUAUGCAAUAAGCUGAUGCCUAGUUGCAUUUGAGACAGAGGGAAAAACUAGAAUCCAUUCAAAGACGUACAAAUGAAUACUAUUUUUGCAAAUGCUCUAUUUACAUAAAGGCACAUGUUCAACUUUAAGUUUAGAAGAUCUCAAGAAAAAAAUAACUCUUCCAUUUACUAUGUAAGUAAUAAUCUCAGAAAAUGGACAAUUAGGCCAUUCCAUGACAGAGAAUAUUAGCAUUUAACAAACUUGUCUAAAAAUAUAAGCAGUAAAUACUUUUAGCACAGCUGGCUUCUAAAGACUUCAAUAUUAACAAACAGACUUAAUAUUCUUGAUUUACUACAGAUUUUUCCAUCAAGUGAAAUAGUCAUGAGGAUGAUAAUUGGGCCCACAUGCCUCCCAAGGACACAGUUCUGUAGUGUGAUAGGGAGAAAGUCACAGAGCCCCACAGGACAGCCGUCCAUACUGCAAGCCUUAGCCUGCAGUAUUGGAAAGAUUCUGUUUCCUCAAUUCAACUAAAAAUAAACAAAUGGGGGUAUGUGCAGUCUCAGUGUCCCCAUCACAGAUUUUAAACCAGAAAAAAACUCACCAGUUACUCAAAACGUACCAAAGAUUGACUCUUAAGAGUAUUUUUACAGUUCACAUCCAUCAAGCUGAAGGACAUAUCUUGAAUAGUAAAAAAUGAAACCAUUAACAUUUAUUCAAACUAAGGUCCUAUGAGAGUAAAUGUAUAGUCUAUGAUGUAAAGAGAAUGUAAACAUUUUUAUGUUAAGUCAUUUCAAUAACAUGUCACCAAUAGGAUCAGUGUUCACACAGGAUACUGGUGUCAGUUUCAACAGUA
rnacentral:lncRNA from 1 species